rnacentral:rRNA from 14 species
AGUCACCAAGCGUGGGAUUGUUCACGCACUAACAGGGAACGUGAGCUGGGUUUAGACCGUCGUGAGACAGGUUAGUUUUACCCUACUGAUGAAGUGAUGUCGCUACAGUAAUCCAACAUAGUACGAGAGGAACCGUUGGGUCAGAUCACUGGUAAUGCGAUUUCCUGACCAGGAAGUGUCGCCAAGCUACCAUCUGUUUGAUUAUGACUGAACGCCUCUAAGUCAGAAUCACUACUGGAACGCGACGUCCGCCAGUCGUGCAUGGAAACAGUAUGCACAAUCCACGCCCAGCACUUCUCACUCGUACAUAGCGAGCAAGAGUGCUGGCUACCACCACACCACGACUGGGACAAAUCUUUCGCAGACCACCUAAAUGGAAAGAGGGAUUGUACGUACGAGAGUAAGCUUGCCUUACGAUCUACUGAGAU